UGUGCUCAAAGCGCGCUCUCGCAGGCAUGUUUUAAUGUUUGGAAAAGCUACAGUUCUGGGAAGAUCACACACAAGUCGGUACAGUUAACGCUAGGUGGCGCGCGCUAACAUAUUUUGGUGUUCGCAUCAUAUAUGAGAGAAGUGUCCCAGCAGCAAACAUGUACCACAGCUGGACCCUGGAGCUGGAACAACCAACUUAAACCAGCCUUGACUAAUAGCUUUAAGCUCUCAGUCCACAGAUGGAUGAGGUGCUGAGAGCUGCUUCCCAUCACAAACAUGCAGAAAAAUUGACAGAAUACAACUUUAAAGAGAUGGAUCCCAGUCGUGCCGUCCCGGUGCCACCUGAGGCUGACUGUGCACCGCCGAGCGCUUCCUGCUGGCUCUCUGGACACAGCGAGCCUACAGGAGCCUAUGAGCAGUGCCUGUUCCAGACUUUUCCAUCCUGCUGUCUCUUCUCCCGCUUCACGGUGAAGCUGCCCCGACCAGCUGGUGGAGCUGGGUAGCUGCAGGCUGCCUUGGACCCUGAUCAAGUAUUGAUGUCUGGCUUUCCGUGCUGGCUGACUCACCAAAGAAGAGCUCUACGAGACAAAGACAGAGACGGAGAAGAGCUCCAGAGAGGAUGGUGGUUUCAAAGGAAGCUUGCAUAAAAAUUGAAGACCUAAUUGCACUGUCUUGAGCCAAGAUGCUUUCUCACAUACAUAUUUGAAGAGAACUUUAUCUAACUUUCUAAACCACAUUCAAAUCCCUGUUAGCCCCUUACCAUUCAUUUCCUUCACAUUUGACGUUCAGCAUAUUUCCUGCAAACAAGGGAUCAAUUCUGUCUGGUUGUGGAAGAUUUUACCAGUAGAUGAAAAACAGCAUGAAAUCGCUAACUGUAUGCUACUGUGUGCAAACUAUAUCCUGCCUCAUCAGCGGCAGUUGCUUUGGCAAAGAAGUGUGAGAAACUAAUCAUAGUUGCUGACCUUUUCCAGUCCCAUCAUGCUGUGCAUGGAUAAUCUCCAUGCAGGCUGUUGUCAGUAUGCAUGGGUCAGACGAGGCAGCUAAAGAUCUACAGCUCUCUCUGAGGGGGUUGGGUCAGUUUGUUUUUCUGCUAUCCUGCUUUCUUCUGUGAAGUGAAGCAGUGCUGCUGACUUCUGUUCUCAGGUCCACUGCCGCCACAAACUCAACACAGUUUACCAGUUCUGUGGUACAAUCAGUUAAUGCUCACUGGUUUGUACAGUUGGCUGACCACAUGAAGCCAAAUCUGUUACCUAAUUAUGUGAAUUCCAUGUAUAUAGUUAUGAAGCAAAUGGCCUUCUCUCUCCUGUGUUUAAGUGAGUGUGUGUGUGUGUGUGUGUGUGUGUGUGUGUAAAGGCUCAAAAGUCAGGUAAUUGGCCUUCUCUUUCAAGGGAAACAGCUAGUUCUCAGUGGUUUCAAUAAAUGAGAAUAAAUGAGUAAAUGGCUUUGAUGUUAUAACAUCAAAUCCAUUUACAGCUUUAACCAACAAAUAUAUUUGUUCUGGUCAAAUAUCAUGAAACUUCUGUGCUUCCAGCACUUUUAAAUCUGCCAGAUAUCUGAGAACAAAACUGGGCCGGGUUAUUCUAGAAAAGAACCGCCCCAAUUACGACAUCCGAAAGGUGUAGGUGGAAGGGGUUUCCGAAACCCUUUCGACUAUCCCACAAUCUUAGACAUUUUACCUUUAACGUGUUAGGUGCUAACAUUUUACGAAUUAGCACUAAACACAAAGUGCAGCUGAGGAUAAUGGAAAUGUCUCAAUUUUGUAGGUAUUUCGUCAUAAAUCAAAGUAUUAGACAAAUAACAUUUUUUGACCUGAUGGUGGCGCUAGAUGAAAAGUCAGGGAAUCUUUAAUGAGGUAGACAUAAAUAUAUCUGUGCCAGGUUUCAUGGCAAUCCAUCCAACAGUUGUUGAGACGUUUCAAUUUGGACCAAAGUGUCAGACCUACUUACCAACACUGUCAUCCAUAGAGCCAUGCCGCUAGCGUGGCUAAAAAUGGUGUAUUAUAUUCAUUAUCUGCCCAAAAUCAGGUAUUUCAGUCAGGCUUUUAUCAGUCUUUUUUUAAUAACAACUAAUAGAAACUAAAACACCACACAUAAGCUUCAGCUUCUGGCUUGUGUAUGUACAUGUUCUCUUUUAUAUGGAAUUCACAUUCUUCUUCUCAUGUCAUCAUAUUUUGAAAUGAGCAGUGUAUUGCAUCUUGGUUUGUUUUUGUUUACUUUAGUAUCAAACAAGUUUCUAUACUUUUAGAAAUGUUAUACUUUUUUUUUUUACACUUAUGGUACUUUUGUAAUAUCAUGCGUAUUCAAAGCAUUUUGUGUCUCAUCAUGUCCUACUGCGGUUAAUUUU